rnacentral:rRNA from 1 species
GAUGAACGCUGGCGGCGUGCUUAACACAUGCAAGUCGAACGGAAAGGCCAGUGCUUGCACUGGUGCUCGAGUGGCGAACGGGUGAGUAACGCGUGGGUGAUCUGCCCUGCACUUUGGGAUAAGCCUGGGAAACUGGGUCUAAUACCAGAUAGGACCAUGCUUUGGAUGGUGUGGUGGAAAGUUUUUUCGGUGUGGGAUGAGCUUGCGGCCUAUCAGCUUGUUGGUGGGGUAAUGGCCUACCAAGGCGUCGACGGGUAGCCGGCCUGAGAGGGUGUACGGCCACAUUGGGACUGAGAUACGGCCCAGACUCCUACGGGAGGCAGCAGUGGGGAAUAUUGCACAAUGGGCGCAAGCCUGAUGCAGCGACGCCGCGUGGGGGAUGACGGCCUUCGGGUUGUAAACUCCUUUCGCAACUGACGAAGCUUUUUGUGACGGUAGGUUGAGAAGAAGCACCGGCUAACUACGUG